rnacentral:rRNA from 1 species
UACAGAGGGUGCAAGCGUUAAUCGGAGUUACUGGGCGUAAAGAGCUCGUAGGUGGUUUGUCGCGUUGUUCGUGAAAACCGGGGGCUUAACCCUCGGCGUGCGGGCGAUACGGGCAGACUUGAGUACUGCAGGGGAGACUGGAAUUCCUGGUGUAGCGGUGGAAUGCGCAGAUAUCAGGAGGAACACCGGUGGCGAAGGCGGGUCUCUGGGCAGUAACUGACGCUGAGGAGCGAAAGCGUGGGGAGCGAACAGG